GACGAACGCUGGCGGCGUGGAUUAGGCAUGCAAGUCGAACGGUAUCAUCCUUUCGGGGGUGAGAGAGUGGCGAACUGGUGAGUAACACGUAGGUUAUCUACCCUCAAGACGGGGACAACCCAGGGAAACUUGGGCUAAUACCGGAUGUGAGCAACUUUUAGUUGUUUGAAAGGUGGCGUAAGCUGUCGCUUGGGGAUGAGCCUGCGUCCUAUUAGUUAGUUGGUGAGGUAACGGCUCACCUAGGCAAUGAUAGGUAGGCGGCCUUAACGGGUGGUCGCCCACACUGGGAUUGAGAUACGGCCCAGACUCCUACGGGAGGCAGCAGUCGAGAAUAGUCUACAAUGGUCGGAAGACUGAUAGUGCGACGCCGCGUGAACGAUGAAUCCCUUCGGGUGUAAAGUUCUUUUAUAUGUGAGCAGUGCUUCUUAUAUUAACAGUAUGGGGGAGAGAUAUUAGCAUAUGAAUAAGCAACGGCUAACUCCGUGCCAGCAGCCGCGGU
rnacentral:rRNA from 1 species